rnacentral:rRNA from 1 species
UACAGGGGGUGCAAACGUUGCUCGGAAUUAUUGGGCGUAAAGCGCGCGUAGGCGGCUACCUAAGUCGGAUGUGAAAGCCCCUGGCUUAACUGGGGAAGUGCACCCGAAACUGAGUAGCUAGAGUGCGAAAGAGGGUCGCGGAAUUCCCGGUGUAGAGGUGAAAUUCGUAGAUAUCAGGAAGAACACCGAUGGCGAAGGCAGCUCUCUGGGACGGUACUGACGCUGAGACGCGAAAGCGUGGGGAGCGAACAGG